rnacentral:rRNA from 1 species
GAUGAACGCUGGCGGCGUGCCUAAUACAUGCAAGUCGAGCGAACGGACGAGAAGCUUGCUUCACUGAUGUUAGCGGCGGACGGGUGAGUAACACGUGGAUAACCUACCUAUAAGACUGGGAUAACUUCGGGAAACCGGAGCUAAUACCGGAUAAUAUUUUGAACCGCAUGGUUCAAAAGUGAAAGACGGUCUUGCUGUCACUUAUAGAUGGAUCCGCGCUGCAUUAGCUAGUUGGUAAGGUAACGGCUUACCAAGGCAACGAUGCAUAGCCGACCUGAGAGGGUGAUCGGCCACACUGGAACUGAGACACGGUCCAGACUCCUACGGGAGGCAGCAGUAGGGAAUCUUCCGCAAUGGGCGAAAGCCUGACGGAGCAACGCCGCGUGAGUGAUGAAGGUCUUCGGAUCGUAAAACUCUGUUAUUAGGGAAGAACAUAUGUGUAAGUAACUGUGCACAUCUUGACGUUACCUAAUCAGAAAGCCACGGCUAACUACGUG